rnacentral:rRNA from 1 species
GACGAACGCUGGCGGCGUGCUUAACACAUGCAAGUCGAACGGUGAAGCGCCUUCCUUUUUGGUGGGUGUGGAUGAGUGGCGAACGGGUGAGUAACACGUGAGUAACCUGCCCCCUUCUUCUGGAUAACCGCAUGAAAGUGUGGCUAAUACGGGAUAUUCUGGGUCUGUCGCAUGAUGGGUCUGGGAAAGAUAUUGUUUCGGUGGGGGAUGGGCUCGCGGCCUAUCAGCUUGUUGGUGGGGUGAUGGCCUACCAAGGCGGUGACGGGUAGCCGGCCUGAGAGGGUGGACGGUCACACUGGGACUGAGACACGGCCCAGACUCCUACAGGGGGCAGCAGUGGGGAAUAGUGCACAAUGGGCGCAAGCCUGAUGCAGCGACGCCGCGUGAGGGAUGGAGGCCUUCGGGUUGUGAACCUCUUUCGCUAGUGAAGCAGGCCUGCCUCGUUUGUGGGUGGGUUGACGGUAGCUGGAUAAGAAGCGCCGGCUAACUACGUG